rnacentral:rRNA from 1 species
ACGAACGCUGGCGGCGUGCUUAACCCAUGCAAGUCGCACGGAAAGGCCCUGCUUUUGUGGGGUGCUCGCGUGGCGAACGGGUGAGUAACACGUGAGUAACCUGCCCUUGACUUUGGGAUAACUUCAGGAAACUGGGGCUAAUACCGGAAAGGAGCUCCUGCUGCAUGGUGGGGGUUGGAAAGUUUCGGCGGUUGGGGAUGGACUCGCGGCUUAUCAGCUUGUUGGUGGGGUAGUGGCUUACCAAGGCUUUGACGGGUAGCCGGCCUGAGAGGGUGACCGGCCACAUUGGGACUGAGAUACGGCCCAGACUCCUACGGGAGGCAGCAGUGGGGAAUAUUGCACAAUGGGCGGAAGCCUGAUGCAGCAACGCCGCGUGCGGGAUGACGGCCUUCGGGUUGUAAACCGCUUUCGCCUGUGACGAAGCGUGAGUGACGGUAAUGGGUAAAGAAGCACCGGCUAACUACGU